UUCUGAGCAUCUUUUAAAGUCGAACAAAAAGAGGCGGACCACAUGGUGACCCCAGAAGAAUUACAAUCAACUAGCGAGAGUGUAGUCCUUUGAGAGACUCAGAAAAUGAGCAAUUCAAAUGGGCGGAGUCAGU
ensembl:ncRNA F02A9.8 ncRNA